AGGAAAUGUGUGUUUCUAAUUUUAAUUAAUAUUAACAAAUUGCUUUCCAAAAAGGCUGCACAAUUCAUAUUUCCAUUAACAAUGAAUGUUUGAGAGUGCUAUCUCCUCAUCUUUAUAAAUUAAUACAAGUCUUAUCUGAGAGUCCGUGUGAUCCUCUCUUUACCACUUAAGUUUGCAUUUCCAUGACUACGGCAAAGGCUGAGGAUCUCUUAAAACAUAAAGUGAUCAUUUGGAUUGCUCUUAUGUGAAUUGCCGGUCCCUGUUUUUUGCUCACAUUUAUAUUUGGGUUUUUUUUUUCUAACCAAUUUGUAACAGUAAUAUGCAUAUUACUGUGGUCGGCAGGCUUCCAAAGUGAUUCCCAGGGGCUCGCGUCCUGGGGUGCUCAUGCCCGCGUAUAAUCCCCUCUUCUGAGCAUGGACUGAAUCCUGGUGACUUUCUUCUAAAGACCAGUAUACAGCAAAAGCGAUGAGCUAUCACUUCUCUGAUUGGGUGUUAAAGACGAUGACCUCUAUUUUGCUGGUAUUCUCUCUGUGGCUUUUGUCACAUGUUUUCUCUAAUGGUGGAGGCUAAGUGGCCUGGAGCCAAAGUAACCUCUGUCCGCAGCCCAUGAGGAAUGGAGAUUCUUAUUCCAAAGUCCUCAGGAAAUGAAUCCUGCAAAACAUCAUAAGAUUGGAAGCAGAUGCUCCCGAAUCAAGCCUUCAGAUGAACCUGUAGCCCGGCUCACAUCUCAGUUGCAGCCUGUGGAAGACCCGGAGGCAGGGCACCCUGUUAAUUGGUGCCUGCAUUCCUGACCCCCAGAAACUGAAAGGACUAAGUGUCUGUUGUUCCAAAAUGCCAAGUUUUGGGGUUAUGCUGCAGAAUGAGAUAAGUAAUACGAUUAUAUAUGCCAGAUUUUCAUCUGGAUCAUGUAUUACAAAAAUUUUUUCCUGCUUUUUAUUUUUUUUUCCUUGACUUUGUUUAUGGUAUCUUUCUCCAUACAGGAUUUUAAAUUUUUAUAUAACUGAAUAUGUCUGUAUUUUCUUAGAUGGCUUUUAGAUUUGAAGAACUGUAUAUAAGUGUCUCUCCAAUACCUAUGUAGUAUCUAGAGUCUCUUAAACAAUUUUCUAAUAUAUCUAGUAUUUUAUUUUUAAAUUUAAUUCAAUUUUAAAAUUUUAAUUCCAGCAUAGUUAGCAUACAGUGUUAUAUUAAUUUUAGGUGUACAGUAUAGUGAUUCAACAAUUUCAUAUAUUACUCAGUGCUCAUCAUGAGGACUUGGACUCCUAAUCUCCAUCACCUAUUUCACCCAUCUCCACUGCUCCCCUCUGGUGACCAGCAGUUUGUUCUCUGUAGUUAAGAGUCUGUUUCUUGGUUUGUCUCUUUUUUCCUUUGCUCAUUUGUUCUGUUACUUAAAUUCCACACAUGAGUGAAAUAAUAUGGUAUUCAUAGUUCUCUUAACUUAUUUCACUUAACAUUAUACCCUCUAGCUCCAUCCAUGUUGUUGCAAAUGGCAAGAUUCCAUUCUUUUCUAUGGCUGACUAAUAGUCCACUGUGUAUAUACACCACGGUUUUAUCCAUUCAUCUAUCAGUGGACACUUGGACUGCUUCCAUAUCUUGGCUAUUGUAAAUAAUGCUGCAAUAAACAUAGGGGUGUGCAUAUCCUUUUGAAUUAGUGUUUUUGUAUUCUUUGGGUGAAUACCCAGUAGUGUGAUAACUGGAUCAUAUGGUAGUUCUAUUUUUAACUUUUUGAGGAACCUCCAUACCUUUAAUAUUUGCCUUUGACUUAAAAUUUCAAAACAUCAUUCAGGGAAAAUAUAUUAGAAGGUCAACCUCAAGAUCUUUUCUUCCUAAAUCUCCAUUUUUUAAAAAAUUAGGAGUAACACUGAUUUUGUUGUUGAUUGACUACUGAAUAUGUUCCCUACUCAUGGCAGAGUCUGAAUCUGUUAAACAGAUUCCUCAUUCUAGGAUUGCAAAACAUUUUUCUUCUAGAAAGAUAAAACCAACUGAAAUAAUCCUAGAAGAAAGGAGUGAGCAGGAAUUUGAAAUGUUUAUAAGAUUCCAAAAGAAAACCCUUUUAUUCUUAGAUCAUAAUACUAUUUCUUUAUCUCACAAAUAUUUGUUAAGUGCAUUCCACGUGGCGGGCAUUGUACUUAGUCCUGGAGAUAAAGGGGUAGAGAAGACAGGCAGACAUGUCUACACCUUCAUGGAAUUUAGGAACAGGCAUUAAUCCAGUUAUUACAAAUGUAGUGAGUGUUAUGAGAGGGAUAUGCAGUGACAGCAUAUGGCAGGGAAUUCCAACAAAGACUGUGAUGAAGAAGAGACAUUUAGGCUGAGAGACGAAGGGUGAGUGACUUAGUCACUUUUAAGGUGAGAGCAAGCAUGGCACAAUUGAGGAACUGAACAGGAAAGAUUGAUAGGCUAGAGCCCCAGGCAUAAGUGAGCUGCGAGGGCUAAGGGUGGUAAGACUGCAGAGCCCCAGGUGGUCGAGAACCCACACACCGUAUCAUGAAUCAAGAUAUUAUUGUAGAGAAACAGAAAGCAAUAGAAGGAUUUCAAGACUGAGAGUGUUUUGACAAGGUCUGUAUUUUAGGAAAGUUACUCUACUCAUAGUUCAGAGAAUGGAUUGGAACAGGAAUAAAAUCAAGGGGUUCACUUAGAAGGCUGAAUAAGUCAAGUUUCAGAAUUACAACAACUUUAGCUAAUUUAAGAAUUUUGCCUAGGGACUCCUUCCUGGGUGGCUCAGUGGUUGAGUGCCUGCCUUUGACUCAGGGCAUGAUCCUGGGAUCUAGGAUUGAGCCCCACUUUGGGCUCCCUGCAGGGAGCCUGCUUCUCCUGUCUGUGUCUCUGCCUCUCUCUCUGUGUCUCUCAUGAAUAAAUAAAUAAAAUCUUUUAAAAAAUUUUUUUGGCUGGGAAAGUGUGAUAAUAUGAUACUGGGCAGAGAAUGUGGGGUCAGAGGAGGGUUUUUUUUUUUAUUUGAUUUUCAGUUUUGUUUGAUUUUGCCAUAGGAAAGGCUUGAGUAUGACAGAAACAGCUAGUCGAUAAUAAGUGCCAGAAGAUACAUAAAAGGAGGAGGCAAAUCCAAAUUGACAUAGGCUAAGAAUCUGAGUUCCCAACAAGACGAUAUUCUUCAAAUAUGCGGCUAAGACUUAUUUAAUGAAGAACUGACCUUUAAUGUAAAAGAAAUGGCAUACUUUUUGUUCAAGAUAAGGAAUCUAUUUUAGAUGUUAAACAUAUAUCAUGUAACUUACUUAAAACUGUCUUACAUUUGAGGUUUUUUAAAAAGCUUUAUUUAUUUACUCAUUCAUGAUAGACUGAGAGAGAGGGAGAGAGAGAGGCAGAGACACAGGCAGAGGGAAGCAGGCUCCACGCGGGGAGCCCAACACGGGACUCGAUCCUGGGACUCCAGGAUUGUGCCCUGGGCCGAAGGCAGGCGCCAAACCGCUGAGCCACCCAGGGAUCCCCUUACAUUUCAGUUUUUAUACUCAAAACUGGUCAUUUGGUAAUUCUAACUAAGAAUGGAAGUAAAGUAAGCAUGUUAGCUACAGGUUUUGUUCAAGAUACAUUUUAAAAUCCUUUUUCCUGGCUUUCACGUAGGCAGAAAGCUUCCCAGUUAUUCUCUAGUUCUUUCUAUUGUGAUUUUUAAAAUCUGUUAGCAUCUUUAGCUGCAUUUAUCAGGUGAUAAGUCACCCUUUCCUAAGAAACAGCAUUACUCUCCAUGUAAUGGUUGGCUGUGGCUUAGGUUAGCAUUGGGUUACAAGGUCCAAGAGCAAAGUGAUAAUCAUAUUUUUUCAAGGUAACGCUUGAGAAUCCUUUACAUCAAGUAGAGUAGAAUGUGUGUGGUUUGGUAUAUAUACUUCUCUCUGGCAAUAUGCAAAUAUACACGUGUAAAAUACAUAGUAAUCUAGAGGACAUAAUAAGGUAUGUAUGUGAAAAAUAUAAUUCUAUCAUGUUUUUAAUUAUGGGGUAGCAAGAUAAGGAGAACAGAAGCAUUAAAAAAAAAAAAAAAAA
rnacentral:lncRNA from 1 species